rnacentral:tRNA from 1 species
UCCCCCGUGGCGCAAUUGGCUAGCGCGUCAGACUGUUAUUCUACAGAUCCAUCUGGAGGCUGGUGGUUCAAGCCCACCCGGGGGAG